UACCAGCACCCCGAGUGGUCGGGACGAUUAUUGGGCCUAAAGCAUCCGUAGCCGGUCCUGCAAGUCUUCCGUUAAAUCCAGCUGCUUAACAGAUGGGCUGCGGGAGAUACUACAGGGCUAGGAGGCGGGAGAGGCAAGCGGUACUUUAUGGGUAGGGGUAAAAUCCGCUGAUCCAUAGAAGACCACCAGUGGCGAAGGCGGCUUGCCAGAACGCGCUCGACGGUGAGGGACGAAAGCUGGGGGGAGCAAACCGG
rnacentral:rRNA from 1 species